GUCAAAGUGUACCUAGCGGUGCUCAGUGCUUUGGAAGCAGAGGUAGGAGAGACUGGCGGAAGCCCUGCGCAAGCGCACUCGCCCACAAGCGCCCCUCCCUCUCCCCAGAGCCCUGCCUUUGGCUACGGACUGUUUUCAACUCUGGCCACAUCUGAGUGAUCUCUUUGACUAUCUGGAUGGAAACGUCUCUGCUGUUGUUGGACUGUAAAACACUGGAUGUCCCCAAAACUGUGAAGAUAUCCAAUAGGACCUGUGCCACUUCCUGGGCCUAUUUGAGUGGACCUUGACCGUAAUGAGAGUAAUGAACGUGAGUGCCAUCUGUGCUACGGCCCUAAUGUUGCUUGUGUUGUUCCUGUUCAUUGUCACAUACCUGGAAGGUUUUCCAUCUUCACCUCUGGCUUCCUGCUUCCCAGGAUUCCUUCAAGAUUCAACUCAGAUCCCAUCUUCUUCAUGAAGCCUUCCCAGGCCUUACCACUGCCGCUUGUCUCGUACUGUAUAUGUCUUGUAGGUACUUAGUUAUUUAGGUGUUGUUUCUGCCAUUAGGAACAGAGGCUAUGCUUUUGCCUUUUUUGAUCCACAGCAUUUAGCACACUGCCUGGCACACUGUGAGUGCUUAAGAAAUUUUUUUU